AUGGGCAGCGGCCCCGAAUUCAGAUCUGGCAUCCCCACACGGCUCACCUCCUGGAAAGGGAGCGGCCGGACUUGGGGUGAUUCGAAGGAGCUGACCGGACUCCAAGCCUGCGUCCAAAAGCUGGUGGACAAGAAGCUCAAGCUUGUCAACGUGGUCCAGGUCAUGCUCAUCCGCCGGAUCCUCCCGUGCCAACGACGGGGCUUCAACAUGUGGGAGUUCGAUCUGGCGCAGCACCAAACUUUGAGCGGGCUCUUCGACACUACGUACGAAGAUGUCUGGAAGGUGCUGUUCAAGGGCGCCGAGGCUCCCGCAUCCGCUACCGAAGAUCGCGGAUUCAGCUCGCAGCGUCCGGCUGGCGAGGACUGGCUGGCGAAGGCCGAGCGGACUAUCUGUUCGGCCCGUUUGCCAGAGGACCCAGCGGACGCCCGCCUAACGGGGCUGCUGGCUCCGGCACCCCCCGUGGUGCCGGAGAAGAAGGCCAAGAAGAAGGCCACGGGGACUCGGAAGAGUUCCCGUUUUCAGGUGCUAUCGGAUGAUGACUCCGAGGCUGACCCCUCUCACGAAGGUGAGGAGGAGAAGAAGAAAGCCUCUCCCCCAGCGGGGGGAGAGAAGAAAAGGAAGGCCUCCCCAACGAGGUAG
rnacentral:rRNA from 1 species